CCUACGGGAGGCAGCAGUGGGGAAUAUUGCACAAUGGGGGGAACCCUGAUGCAGCGACGCCGCGUGCGUGAAGAAGUCUUUCGGUAUGUAAAGCUCUAUCAGCAGGGAAGAAAAUGACGGUACCUGACUAAGAAGCCCCGGCUAACUACGUGACAGCAGCCGCGGGAAUACGUAGGGGGCAAGCGUUAUCCGGAUUUACUGGGUGUAAAGGGAGCGCAGACGGCUGGACAAGUCUGGAGUGAAAGGCGGGGGCCCAACCCCCGGACUGCUAUGGAAACUGUAAAGCUGGAGUGCAGGAGAGGUAAGCGGAAUGCCUAGUGUAGCGGUGAAAUGCUUAGAUAUUAGGAGGAACACCAGUUGCGAAGGCGGCUUACUGGACUGCGACUGACGUUGAGGCUCGAAAGCGUGGGGAGCAAACAGGAUUAGAUACCCCUGUAGUC
rnacentral:rRNA from 1 species